rnacentral:rRNA from 1 species
GCCAGACUCCUACGGGAGGCAGCAGUGGGGAAUAUUGCACAAUGGGCGAAAGCCUGAUGCAGCAACGCCGCGUGAAGGAAGAAGGCCUUCGGGUCGUAAACUUCUGUCCUUGGGGAAGAAGAACUGACGGUACCCAAGGAGGAAGCCCCGACUAACUACGUGCCAGCAGCCGCGGUAAUACGUAGGGGGCAAGCGUUAUCCGGAUUUACUGGGUGUAAAGGGAGCGUAGACGGCGAAGAAAGUCUGAAGUGAAAGCCCGCGGCUCAACCGCGGAAUGGCUUUGGAAACUUUUUUGCUGGAGUACCGGAGAGGUAAGCGGAAUUCCUAGUGUAGCGGUGAAAUGCGUAGAUAUUAGGAGGAACACCAGUGGCGAAGGCGGCUUACUGGACGGUAACUGACGUUGAGGCUCGAAAGCGUGGGGAGCAAACAGGAUUAGAUACCCGCGUAG